ensembl:lncRNA novel transcript
CUUGUAAAAGCCGAAACCCUUUCCUUGGGAUGCAGCAGCCUUAUCACAUGACCUCGGCUGGCCUAGCAGAGCAGACCUGCCCAAAACUGUGUAAAUACUGCUGGACUGGAUGGAACACAGGAUGUAUUAGAAUAUUUUUCCUGUAUUUAAAUGUACACAAGAAAGGAAGACAUGCUCAUGGAUUGACACAUCUUGAGAAAGACUUGGGAGAAAAAGACAAAACAAAUGUGUCAAAAAGAGAGAAUGUAAUACACAACCUUGCUUCAUUUGAAA